rnacentral:rRNA from 1 species
GACGAACGCUGGCGGCGUGCUUAACACAUGCAAGUCGAGCGGUAAGGCCCUUUCGGGGGUACGACGAGCGGCGAACGGGUGAGUAACACGUGGGUGACCUGCCCUCAGCUCUGGGAUAAGCCUGGGAAACUGGGGUCUAAUACCGGGAUAUGACUCCAUGACGCAUGUUGUGGGGUGGAAAGCCUUGUGCGGCUAGGGAUGGGCCUGCGGCCUAUCAGCUUGUUGGUGGGGUGAGGCCUACCAAGGCGACGACGGGUAGCCGGCCUGAGAGGGCGACCGGCCACACUGGGACUGAGACACGGCCCAGACUCCUACGGGAGGCAGCAGUGGGGAAUCUUGCGCAAUGGGCGAAAGCCUGACGCAGCGACGCCGCGUGGGGAUGACGGCC